rnacentral:lncRNA from 1 species
CAGUUUCUGAUAUGUUAAACUUGUUUUGUCGUGCAUUGAAACAUAUCCACCCAUUGCACAGUGGGCACCCAAAUUACGAAUAUCUGUUCUUUCUUUCUACCUUGCUCUGGUGUUUUCUUAGUUUAGCAUUGGUGCAAU